rnacentral:miRNA from 1 species
CAGUAAAAUUUGAAUCCUGAUAGAUAAUGAAUAAGUUUUAACCAGGUAUGUUCCAUGUAAUACUUGGGAUAUACUUAUACUAAAAAGUUUUCUUUGUUUAUUUGGAAUUCACACUUAACU